rnacentral:rRNA from 1 species
UGAGGAAUAUUGGUCAAUGGGCGGGAGCCUGAACCAGCCAAGCCGCGUGAGGGAGGAAGGCCCUAUGGGUCGUAAACCUCUUUUGUCAGGGAACAAAAGCGAGUAUGUAUACUAGUCUGAGUGUACCUGAAGAAAAAGCAUCGGCUAACUCCGUGCCAGCAGCCGCGGUAAUACGGAGGAUGCGAGCGUUAUCCGGAUUUAUUGGGUUUAAAGGGUGCGUAGGCGGCUGUGCAAGUCAGCGGUAAAAGCCCGGGGCUCAACCCCGGCGAGCCGUUGAAACUGCAGUGCUAGAGAAGGCGAGAGGUACGCGGAAUGCGCAGUGUAGCGGUGAAAUGCUUAGAUAUUGCGCAGAACUCCGAUUGCGAAGGCAGCGUACUGGCGCCUGACUGACGCUGAGGCACGAAAGCGUGGGGAUCGAACAGGAUUAGAUACC